UCAUUUAAUAUAAACACUGACACACACAGAGAAAAAAGGGGGUCCCCUCCUCUCCAAAAAUAAAACCUUCAGCAACCCAUCCCUCUCUUUCGCCGGCCUCCCCCAGAAAUUCACCCAUUUCUUUUCUCUGAAAAUUGAAGAAAAACACACGGUCAGAGGAAAUAAAGAGAAGCAGUCGACCAAUUAUUAUUUUUUUCAAUUUUUUUCUUUUGUUCGGCGAGUUAAGCUUAACUAAGAUCACUGCCUUGCCGGCGCUUCGCCGGAGUUUCAUCAUCUCCGGCCAACUCAGUCGAUUAGAAUCCGUUCGAGGUUGUUGAUUCCGGUUCCGGGUCCAUAGCGCAAGUGCGGUAUGUUGGUCGCAGGUGCGGAAGCUUGAGGUUUAAUGAAUUUUUGUAGGUGCGGUCCUUUAUCUGUAGAAGCGGUACCGUAGGUGCGGUCCCUUGACCGCAGAAGCAGAUUUGAUGGGCAGAAAAUAAGAAUUUCGAGGGUUUGAAAUCAAAAGUUAGAAAAUUGAUUUGGAGCUCGGGAGAGGGCGAUUUUGGGAGGAUUUUGAAGAGGAAAUCAGUGGGUAAUGAUUCCUAAUCCCUUCUAGUUGUAUUCCUAUAAUCUAAUCUUAGUUUUGUCAUUUAAUUUCGGAAUUGGGAUGAAAAUUGGGGGAAAAUUGGAGAAAGUUCUUAGACCUAAAUUUCGAGUUUUGAUUGGGGAUUUUACAUUGGAUUUGGAUAACUUUGGUAUGGUUAGACUCGUGAGAGUGAGAAUUCUGAAAAUAUAAAUUUCACCCGAUUCCGAGACGUGGCCUCGGAGGGCAUUUUUGUCAUUUUUCCUAAUUUCGCGUAUUAACUUAGAAUUUUUUUGUAGAAUCAGUUAUUUGAAGUGUUAUUUACAUUAUGCAAUUGAAUUGAAUAGAUUUGGGUCAUUUGGAGUCGAGUACUCGUGGCAAGAACGUGGUUUCGGGUUGAUUUUGAGCCGAUUCGAGGUAAGUGGCUUGCCUAACUUUGUGUAGGGGAAUUCUCCCUUAGGAUUUGAUAUUGAUGAUAUUUGAGAUGCCUUAUAUGUGAGGUGACGAGUGCGUACUUGUGCUAAUUAUUGAAAAAUUCUAUUUUCAUUAAUUAACUAUAAUUGUGCUUCUAUUCCUGCCUAUACUACUUGCAAUUUAAGCUUACUGUUAGCUUAGGGAAGCAUGCCUAAUUGGCUUAAUUGCCUUAUUUGCUCAAACUGCGUUAUUUGGAUUCCGUGCAGCAUGCUAGGUUAGAAAUACUUGUUUUACCUUGGUAUGGAAUUUGAAUUGAAUUGAGUAUUCUUUGUGUUGCUGCUGUGUGUUUACUUUGGGACUACGGGACAUUAUCGUGGGAGAUCCCCCUGCAUGUUUACUUUGGGACUAUGGAUUGGUAUUCCGGGAGAUCCCCCUACACUUUUAUAUUGGAACUACGGGACUACACCCGGUAGAUUCCCCCAGCACUGAGUUGGACUACGGGACGGUAUCCCAGGAGAUCCACUGGAUAUUUAUAUUUGGGACUACAGGACGGUAUCUUGGGAGAUCCCCGGUUGUUAUUUAUGUGUUGAGUUGUAUCCCUUUCUGUGAUUAAUUUGUCUUUGUUGUAGUUAUUGGUGUUCUUUCCAUCUUGUGUUACUUCUUAUUAUUGCACUUAAUUAUACUAUCUUAUUCCACACUAUUAUACUUUGCAUUUCAUUUAACCUCAGUAGGGCCCUGACCUUCCUCGUCACUACCGAUCGAGGUUAGGCUUGGCACUUACUGAGUAUCGCUAUGGUGUACUCAUGCCCUUUCUACGUAUGUUUUUCAUGUGCAGAUCCAGGUACUUCGACUCAGUCCUACCACCCUUGAGGCGAGACAAUUUUCCCAGAGACUUCGAGGUAUAUCUGCCGCGUCCGCAGACCGAGGAGUCCCUUUCUAUUCUCUCUUUAAGUAUUAGCCCUUCUGUAUUUUUCUUUUGUUAGACAAUCUGGAGUUAGAUACUUGUAGACAUUCAAAACCUUGUGAUUUCAUGAGAUUCCGGGUUUUAGGAAAUGUUGUUUCAGUUUCGAGAGUUUGUAUUGUAUAUGCCGAGCGACAUCUUAAACGCUUCGUUAUGUUAUUUCUGUAGUUUAUGGUUAGUUUUAUUCUGUUAUUUCUGUAUUCCGCAAUUUGUUAGGCUUACUUGGUCGUAGUGACUAUGUGCCGUCACGAUAGUUCACGGAGGGCAAACUGGGGCCGUGAUAAUUAUUCCAUAGUUAAUACAACCACUUAAUUCU
rnacentral:lncRNA from 1 species